rnacentral:rRNA from 1 species
ACGCUAGCUACAGGCUUAACACAUGCAAGUCGAGGGGCAUCAGGAAGAAAGCUUGCUUUCUUUGCUGGCGACCGGCGCACGGGUGAGUAACACGUAUCCAACCUGCCCUUUACUCGGGGAUAGCCUUUCGAAAGAAAGAUUAAUACCCGAUGGCAUAAUGAUUCCGCAUGGUUUCAUUAUUAAAGGAUUCCGGUAAAGGAUGGGGAUGCGUUCCAUUAGGUUGUUGGUGAGGUAACGGCUCACCAAGCCUUCGAUGGAUAGGGGUUCUGAGAGGAAGGUCCCCCACAUUGGAACUGAGACACGGUCCAAACUCCUACGGGAGGCAGCAGUGAGGAAUAUUGGUCAAUGGGCGCUAGCCUGAACCAGCCAAGUAGCGUGAAGGAUGAAGGCUCUAUGGGUCGUAAACUUCUUUUAUAUAAGAAUAAAGUGCAGUAUGUAUACUGUUUUGUAUGUAUUAUAUGAAUAAGGAUCGGCUAACUCCGUGCCAGCAGCCGCGGUAAUACGGAGGAUCCGAGCGUUAUCCGGAUUUAUUGGGUUUAAAGGGAGCGUAGGUGGACUGGUAAGUCAGUUGUGAAAGUUUGCGGCUCAACCGUAAAAUUGCAGUUGAUACUGUCAGUCUUGAGUACAGUAGAGGUGGGCGGAAUUCGUGGUGUAGCGGUGAAAUGCUUAGAUAUCACGAAGAACUCCGAUUGCGAAGGCAGCUCACUGGACUGCAACUGACACUGAUGCUCGAAAGUGUGGGUAUCAAACAGGAUUAGAUACCCUGGUAGUCCACACAGUAAACGAUGAAUACUCGCUGUUUGCGAUAUACAGUAAGCGGCCAAGCGAAAGCAUUAAGUAUUCCACCUGGGGAGUACGCCGGCAACGGUGAAACUCAAAGGAAUUGACGGGGGCCCGCACAAGCGGAGGAACAUGUGGUUUAAUUCGAUGAUACGCGAGGAACCUUACCCGGGCUUAAAUUGCAGUGGAAUGAUGUGGAAACAUGUCAGUGAGCAAUCACCGCUGUGAAGGUGCUGCAUGGUUGUCGUCAGCUCGUGCCGUGAGGUGUCGGCUUAAGUGCCAUAACGAGCGCAACCCUUAUCUUUAGUUACUAACAGGUUAUGCUGAGGACUCUAGAGAGACUGCCGUCGUAAGAUGUGAGGAAGGUGGGGAUGACGUCAAAUCAGCACGGCCCUUACGUCCGGGGCUACACACGUGUUACAAUGGGGGGUACAGAAGGCAGCUAGCGGGUGACCGUAUGCUAAUCCCAAAAGCCUCUCUCAGUUCGGAUCGAAGUCUGCAACCCGACUUCGUGAAGCUGGAUUCGCUAGUAAUCGCGCAUCAGCCACGGCGCGGUGAAUACGUUCCCGGGCCUUGUACACACCGCCCGUCAAGCCAUGGGAGCCGGGGGUACCUGAAGUACGUAACCGCAAGGAUCGUCCCAGGGUAAAACUGGAG